rnacentral:rRNA from 1 species
UACGUAGGGUGCAGGCGUUAAUCGGAAUUACUGGGCGUAAAGCGUGCGCAGGCGGUUUCUUAAGUCAGAUGUGAAAGCCCCGGGCUCAACCUGGGAACUGCGUUUGAAACUGGGAGACUGGAGUGUGGCAGAGGGGGGUGGAAUUCCCGGUGUAGCAGUGAAAUGCGUAGAGAUCGGGAGGAACAUCAGUUGCGAAGGCGGCUCUCUGGACCAGCACUGACACUGAGGCACGAAAGCGUGGGGAGCAAACAGG